UGUUAUCCAAAAUCACAAUAUUGGUGUCGCUCGCUCUGGCGAAACAGAUCCGGCGAUCCCCCGCGAGGCCCCCUUCCAGCCCCAGACCGGCCAGACACGCCUGCCGCAGCGGCCACACCUCGGUGCGCCCCCUCCCCUUCAUCCACCGCCCCUUUCGGCCAUCCCGUCCCGGCUCCACCUCCUCCGAUCGCCGCUGCUGGCCCCGCGCCGCCCGCCGGCCAUCAUGCCGGCGCCAGCCUAGCCCACACUCUCCACUCUACCGGCGUUUCUAUUGGGUCAUCAAGCGCUGGCACACAUGUGGCGAGCAGCAGCUAGCAGACCUGCAGUUCACUGCCUAUAAACUUCUUGUAAGGCUCUUGCUGAUAUGUCCACUAUCAUGAAAUGUUUAAGGGUAUGGUCAGUUGGAGAACAUAUAUCACUAUGAAUUUAUGACUGCAAAGAUCUGUUUCUUCAGGAUAUGCUGUACAUCAUUAUUAGCAUGGUAUAUUUAUUGCCAUCUAGGAGUCUUCCCAUCGAGCAAAUUUACCCAGAAAGCACAGAACUUGGCAGAUCACCAUCAGAAUUUCGUCAACAGCAUGGUGCACAUCUUGGACAGCCUCUGUUGGAGUUGGCUCGCACGUUCAUCGGCACAGUGGUGCUGUGCAGUCACUUGCCAUCUGCCCACUAGGGAUAGGCCCUUUAUGAAGGUACAGUGGGGUUUUGUCAAGCAGAUGAACUGGUUCAACGAAUCAGUUCAACCCUGACCCACUUGCAUCCCGACCACUCGACCACAAUACCGUGCAUACUUCUGGUGGUAACUCGCAAUACUAGCUAAGAUGCCAACAUAUAAGAUGCAAAGGAGCAGUGACGCUAUUUUGCUUGUUCUGCCUAACGGAAUUUUCAGAAGCUGUGUACUCCUGAACCCGAUAUUAUUUAGUCUGACAGUAAGUUACAUAGUAUAUUGAUCCCUGAAUUACAGAUGAAUUACUCCCUCCGUUUCUAGGUAUAAGUCAUAUAGUUUUUGGCGUGGAAAUUAAAGAACACACAUGUAGGAAAAAUUACACCAUGUUUGGCUGAGAUUAAUCCUAGGCAAUUGAUGUGAGCUAAUAGAGAACUUUGCAUAAGAUGGAAACCUAAUCAAAUCCCUAAAAAUAUUGUCCAUACAAAUGGGGUAGCCCAAUACAACUUAUAUUCUGAAAAUUUUCUCAAAAAACUAUAUGGCUUAUGUAUAUGAAUGUAGGGAGUAUUACUUAGUCCAACAGUAAGUUACACAAUGUACCGAUUUCUAAGUUACAGAUAAGUUGGGAGGAGAUUGAUAGUAAUUAUAUACAUACAUACUUGUGUCAUCUAAAUGCAAAAAAAUUUGAUUGGUAUUUUUGAAAAACUAGAAAUACGAUUUUUGGGGCCGGCAAGUUAUAAGGUUGUGGGUACAAAGUAUUUUAGUGUUCUGCCCUUCGUUUGUAAAGACCCUACUAGCACUCAAUUUUAUUUUACUAGCAUUCCGUACAGCUUUUGCUUUCCAAACUCUAAGGCCAAAACCAGCGGGCUCGGUCAAAUUAAGCUCAUGAAUGUGAAUGAAUUGGCGAAUUGAUUAUUAGCUUCAAUACCUCGUC